rnacentral:lncRNA from 1 species
CAGAGCCCCCUGCACCCCCAUGUCCUGGCAGAGGAAACACUGACCCCCCCCACCCCACCGAAUCCCCCUCUUCCGCUGUGCCCUUUGCACCCCUCCCAUUAGGACAGUCAAUCCCCUCCCAUUUGGGAACCCCCUUUUCAUUCUCUCCCCAGCCCCUCCUGGCACCCAGGCACCUGCACAGGAGUGCGCCCUCCUCUCUUGGCUAAUGACAAUUUAGCUGGCUUAGAGUGGCCGUGCCAGCACCUUCCCUGCCCUUCCUGUGCCUCAGAUCUUUUCUCAAGCCUUCCUCACCCUCCCAGGGCAACUCUGGGGGCCAAGGCCCUGCUCUGCUUGUCAGAACCGCUGUACUCCCACCCCUGCAACGAAGCGUGAAGCUGACAGACAGGGCAGACCCAGAAAUGAAUUUGUACCCCAGAGUGGACACAGCCGCCCCCCAAAGGUGCCUGAGCCACACAGCCGCCCCCCAAAUGUGCUGGUCUUUCUGGUGACCAGCCCUCUUCUGAGGUUAUCCAGGGGCCCACAAAGCCCUCAUUAGAACAAGUGAUGCUCUUAUCAUCCUGGAAAUUCUAAGGGUUUUUGAAGCUCUGUGUCAAGGGCAGAGACCGAAUAUAUAUUAAUGAGGUCAUAGCGCCCAUUCUUUUCUCCAUUUAAGAGGCAUCUCACAUGUUACCAGCACAUUUUGCUUCUGCCUUCUGCUCCUGCACUCAGAGGAAGGGGGUCCCUGGGCCCCCAUGCCCUGUGCAGUAGAGCCCAAGCCCCUGGGCCUCAACAGCUCCCUCCCAGCCUCCCUCAUAAAUAGGCCUUGGGAAUAGGAAAGGCUUGGCACAACGACAGGGCAGAAGAAACAGAGGGCAUCGACCCUGGCAGGUCUGCUCAGGGGUCCUGCCACCUGCCCUCCACACCCUCACCUCUGCCCUCUACGGUGACUGCCUUCCAGCAAAUUUGUAAGAGAAGCCCCUGCCAGGCUGUCGGGAGGGAGCCACCCACACAGCAGGUGCCUGGCCCUGGAAAGAAUAGGGAAGCUGAUACAGAAACGUUGUGGUCGGAGUAUCUGAGGGGUGUUCCCCAUACAAGAUAAAGGAAACAAAUACUAAUGGUGCCUGCGGGAUGUGGAUGUGUGUUUAUUCUACCCAAACUUGCCUUUGUUUUCCCCUCCUUCUUAACAGGCUGCGCCAGGCCAUCAUCAGACCUUACUUCGACCCAACAACCUACCUGGUUGCACGUGCUGUGUUUCCGAACCUACCGGCAGCCGAAGAAGACAUGGGCAAAACCUAUCACCAACCCACAUUCUUCCAGCAACAACAAUCCGCUCAAAUCUGCAGAAGAUGUGCUUCCUUGGGAUAAGAAAAACGUCCUGGUAUUUCUUUUUAAAUGUAUUUAAUUCUAUGUAAGCAACUCUGGAGUCCUAUGCAAAUGCAGCGAGUGUACUGGUGGGUAUCUUAAAGCUCAAGCCUGUAUCUAUGGCAAAUCGAUUUCUCGGCUUCAGUGCAUCUCAGCUCUUCUGGUGACGUCUAAUCUCUGAAGUGCUUCGGCAGGGAUACUAGAUGUUAAACUUCUUCUAGAAAAUCAUCAUGUCUUUGAGUGGUGGAUAAAGGACCAGCCUAUAGGGAGGUGGUUAUAAAUUCUUUGGUGUUACACGCAGGUUGUGGAAAGAGAAAGCGUAUACCUAUGACGACGUUUCUCUACCAUGAACGAUAACGGAAUUCCCUCUGCUGUGCUUUCUUGCUUAUUGCUGCUGGUCCCCAGAAACUGUCCUCUCUAAGGAAUGACUCUGCAGCAGGGUUCGUCAGGGCCAGCCCUCACUGGGGACCUACUAUGUGCACAGCACCGUAAACACAACUGAGAGCCUUGGGAAUACAGAGCAGAAGAGAGAGAGAAUCUGGAUGGAGGGGGUGGGGGAUGACUAUGCAAACCACUGACCUGAAUGGAAAGCAGCCUGAAAUCUGUGCCAUCACAGACUCAAGCGGGAAGCACCAGGAAAUGGGCCAUUGACUCCAUCUUGGUGAAUAUUCAAGCAAACUACCUGGAGAAAGGAGCAUUUGUCCUGAAUCUUGAAAACCACUGAGUUAUCAUUUGGAGCUGGAGCAGGAGCCCUCAACAUUUAGGAUUUAUUAGGAAUCACAAUGUGGGGGAUGGAUCUUGUGUACAACACAGAUUAUCCGGCAUGAUGGCUAGAUAUUCUGAGUCAGUAAAUCUGGCACAGACUGCGUUAAGUGAUGCAGGUUAUCUGGAGGCAGGUAGUCCAGGACCAAACUGUGCCCUGAGUUGGAGGCUGGAUGGGGGGAAGAAAUGAUAGACAAGAGGAAAGGUAGGACAGACCCAGAUCAUAGAGGAAGGAAGUCCAAUGCCAUGCCAAGGAGGUUAGGCUUUAUUCUGUCAGCAAUCGGUGCUCUAUCUGUGUUUUAAAAGGGCUCCAUUCUGCUGGAAAAGUUUAUAGUGUUCCAGUGCUUUUAAAGCUACAGUGUGAAGAAUCUACAUGCUUGGAGAAUUUGCUUUCACUUAACAAUUUCAUAUUCUAUUUUAAUAUAGAGCUAUUGGUUUAAAGAGUAAGAAAGAAUGAAUUGGGGUGUCCCCUGGGGCACGCCUGCUUGAAAGAGGAUACAAAUCUCGGGCUAUAGGGUCAGUGUGGUUGUGAUAGGGACGGAGGAUAG